GCAAUGACGUAACGAGUGAUGCACGCAUUUAUUAUUGUUUAAAUUGCAAAUAGGUGAUGGAGGUGGCCCAUAAUGACAUUGCAUAAAACUGAUGAAACACACUUCCACUACUUUUUGGCGGGCAUUUCUUCAUUUGGCACUCUACCCUGCGGAAGAGAUGGAUGGCCGGGAAUCAAUGGGAGAAAAUGACACCAAGUUUUAAAAUUGGUGCGCUGUUUACUUUCGAUUUGAGUUGUUAAAUUACAUUGACGUCCCCUUUGAAAUUCGGGGCGCCACCGUUGGCUCAAAGAGACUUGAAGUCUUCACAUCCUUUCAUUGCCGGGAAUAUAUACAAGAGUGGACCGUUACAUUGAUUGGAUAAUAGCUAACAUCAAACCAUGAUCAAGAUGAAUUACAACAGAUCUACCUUAAAAUUUACACAUCGACAAAAUGCCGAAAAUCUAACACAAUAAUUUAAACUGAGAAGUAAUCUUAACAUACACUCUCUUCUAAAUUAGAACAUUAUAAAUGAAAUCUCUUACAAAUCAUUUAUUUGUACUUUUUUGUGAAACAAUUCUUUAGAAUAAAUUUUCGAUAUAUAAUUAAAGGCAAA